rnacentral:lncRNA from 10 species
AGUCUGUCUUUCACCCAGCAUGGAGUGCAAUGGUGCCUCGAACUCUUGGACUCAAGUGAUCCUUCCACUUCAGCCUCCCAAGUAGCUGGGAUUACAGCUGUGUGCCACUGUGCCCAGCUGAGAGUAGGUUUUAAUCUGAGCAUGGGGGCAGCUAUGAUUCCCCGUAGCACCUGGGGUGAGACCAGGUCCUGGCUCCACUCACCCUGCCAGGAUCUCGUGGUCUGACACCUUCACACUGGACACGCCAUCUCUGGCCUCAUCCAGCGUCUGCACUGGCUCAGGCCUCCGUGAGCGGCAAUCCCAACAGCGGAUACUGGAAUCAAUAGAGCCUGUGAGGCCAGCAUGAUGGCUUUCACUCACCCCUGCGUGGCCCCGGAAUUUGCGCACGACCUGCCCUGAUGCCACAUCCCACAGAACCACCGCCUUGUCCCCGCCGCCGGAGCAGAGACUACUGUUGUCAAAGGAGCUGGAGUAAAGGAGGAGGAGGAUCAGCAUCGACCUCGGAUCCCAGCCUCAGCGCUCCCAUCCCAGCCUGGUCCCCGGCUCACCCGGCCGCAUCCAGCACCU